UACGGGAGGCAGCAGUGGGGGAUAUUGGACAAUGGGGAAGCUGAUCCAGCCAUGCCGCGUGUGUGAGAAGCUUCGGUGUAAAGCACUUUCAGUGAGGAGAACGCUUGUGGGCUAAUACCCUGCAAGAGAGACAUCACUCACAGAAGAAGCACCGGCUAACUCCGUGCCAGCAGCCGCGGUAAUACGGAGGGUGCGAGCGUUAAUCGGAAUUACUGGGCGUAAAGCGCGCGUAGGCGGCUUGAUAAGCCGGUUGUGAAAGCCCCGGGCUCAACCUGGGAACGGCAUCCGGAACUGUCAGGCUAGAGUGCAGGAGAGGAAGGUAGAAUUCCCGGUGUAGCGGUGAAAUGCGUAGAGAUCGGGAGGAAUACCAGUGGCGAAGGCGGCCUUCUGGACUGACACUGACGCUGAGGUGCGAAAGCGUGGGUAGCAAACAGGAUUAGAUACCCUGGUAGUCCACGCCGUAAACGAUGUCGACUAGCCGUUGGGGUCCUCGAGACCUUUGUGGCGCAGUUAACGCGAUAAGUCGACCGCCUGGGGAGUACGGCCGCAAGGUUAAAACUCAAAUGAAUUGACGGGGGCCCGCACAAGCGGUGGAGCAUGUGGUUUAAUUCGAUGCAACGCGAAGAACCUUACCUACUCUUGACAUCGAGCGAACUUUCCAGAGAUGGAAGGGUGCCUUCGGGAACGCUCAGACAGGUGCUGCAUGGCCGUCGUCAGCUCGUGUUGUGAAAUGUUGGGUUAAGUCCCGUAACGAGCGCAACCCUUGUCCCUAUUUGCCAGCGAUUCGGUCGGGAACUCUAGGGAGACUGCCGGUGACAAACCGGAGGAAGGUGGGGACGACGUCAGGUCAUCAUGGCCCUUACGAGUAGGGCUACACACGUGCUACAAUGGCCGGUACAGAGGGUGGCAAUGCCGCGAGGUGGAGCUAAUCUCAUAAAGCCGGUCUCAGUCCGGAUCGGAGUCUGCAACUCGACUCCGUGAAGUCGGAAUCGCUAGUAAUCGUGAAUCAGAAUGUCACGGUGAAUACGUUCCCGGGCCUUGUACACACCGCCCGUCACACCAUGGGAGUGGACUGCACCAGAAGUGGUUAGCCUAACUUCGGAGGGCGAUCACCACG
rnacentral:rRNA from 1 species